rnacentral:rRNA from 1 species
GACGAACGCUGGCGGCGUGCUUAACACAUGCAAGUCGAACGGAAAGGCCCUGCUUGCAGGGUACUCGAGUGGCGAACGGGUGAGUAACACGUGGGUGAUCUGCCCUGCACUUCGGGAUAAGCCUGGGAAACUGGGUCUAAUACCGGAUAGGAGCCAUUUUUAGUGUGAUGGUUGGAAAGUUUUUUCGGUGUAGGAUGAGCUCGCGGCCUAUCAGCUUGUUGGUGGGGUAAUGGCCUACUAAGGCGGCGACGGGUAGCCGGCCUGAGAGGGUGGACGGCCACAUUGGGACUGAGAUACGGCCCAGACUCCUACGGGAGGCAGCAGUGGGGAAUAUUGCACAAUGGGCGCAAGCCUGAUGCAGCGACGCCGCGUGGGGGAUGACGGCCUUCGGGUUGUAAACUCCUUUCGCUAGGGACGAAGCUUUUUGUGACGGUACCUAGAUAAGAAGCACCGGCUAACUACGUG